rnacentral:rRNA from 1 species
ACUAAUAAUACGUGGCGAACGGCUCAGUAACACGUAGUCAACAUGCCCAGAGGACGUGGAUAACUUCGGGAAACUGAGGGUAAACCGCGAUAGGCCAUAAUUACUGGAAUGUGUUAUGACCCAAAUCUAUAUGGCCUCUGGAUUGGACUGCGGCCGAUCAGGCUGUUGGUGAGGUAAUGGCCCACCAAACCUUUUACCGGUACGGGCUCUGAGAGGAGGAGCCCGGAGAUGGGCACUGAGACAAGGGCCCAGGCCCUAUGGGGCGCAGCAGGCGCGAAACCUCUGCAAUAGGCGAAAGCCUGACAGGGUUACUCUGAGUGAUUCCCGCUAAGGGAAUCUUUUGGCACCUCUAAAAAUGGUGCAGAAUAAGGGGUGGGCAAGUCUGGUGUCAGCCGCCGCGGUAAUACCAGCACCCCGAGUGGUCGGGACGAUUAUUGGGCCUAAAGCAUCCGUAGCCGGUCUUGCAAGUCCUCCGUUAAAUCCACCUGCUUAACAGAUGGGCUGCGGAGGAUACUACAAGGCUAGGAGGCGGGAGAGGCAAGCGGUACUCAGUGGGUAGGGGUAAAAUCCUCUGAUCCAUUGAAGACCACCAGUGGCGAAGGCGGCUUGCCAGAACGCGCUCGGCGGUGAGGGAUGAAAGCUGGGGGAGCAAACCGG